rnacentral:lncRNA from 7 species
AGUGCCGUGCAGGCAACGCCUGGGGCGGGGGCGUGAGGGCUGAGGCUGCGUACUGCGCUCAUCAGAUUUAUUGCUUUUCUCUAACAUGAGAGAAUAGUUGUAUAACUUCUUUGGAGCUGCAUGGGCCUACCAGCCUUCCAGAUUAUGGACUCCAGACCCCAGAUGAGGCUUCUGUAGUCUGCAUGGAGCUGUGAAUCAAACAUUGCUGUUGAUGUGGAUGCUCCGUCUUAACCCUCUUCUUGCUCCUGUCCAUUUGUGACCUUGAAGUCGGUCUUCAGUUUUUCAGCAAAGCAGACUCUUCAUUGUGGUUUCUAGUGUGGUAUUAUUCACCUACACUCCCUAACUGGGUGGACCUGCUCUGUCAAAAGCAUGUUUGGCCUGCUUUACUCAGAGGAGCAGAAUACUUUGGCUGGCUGAGGCUGGGGAAAGGAUGAGCUGAAAUCGCUUGCUUACUGCUUUCUUCUAUUACAGGUUUUCUAAUGAUCUGAAAGCUUGUCUAACCUAUUUUGUUAUAUCUUGUUUUCAAACUGGAUGUAGUAUUAAGAGUGAGAAUGUCAUUUUCUGUAUUUUUGUGUACUUCAGCAUAAUUCUGAUUUAUUUGACCAUAGAUAGUACUAUAGAAAUAAUGAAAAUUACCUGUAAAUGGAUGGGAAAAAAAACCCUGAAAAAUCUCUUGUUUCUGAUUUUCAGAAUUAAAUUACUGUAUGGCCUGCAGAUACAUAAGCAUACCUAUUCUUCAUUUUCCUUUCUUUCUGGUACUCUGAUGCCACUUUUUAUUUUUCAGCUUUAGGGGAGUCUGAAGUGGUACCAUAUUUCUGUCAGAAUAAGAUUGUCUUAACUGUGUUAAUGCAAACUUCUUUAGUUUCAUGCAGCCCGAUGCACGUGUCAGACCAGUCCACUGUGGUGGCUAACCCUACCCAGGAUCCUGCACAGGAUAGUACGUAGUAAAAGGUACAAGUACAGUAAUAGAUUGGUGCUUUGAUAGACUUCAUGUCCAAUGUUGCCUCCUAAAUCCAUAUAAAUAGAGAUUUUCUUAAGACAAAGGGAUUUCAGAUUUUGCUGAAUAGCUGCUGUAAAUGUAUUAAGUAUUUCACUUUCUGUGUGAAUAUCUUUGUUUGUGUAACGAGUCUUCAAGAUCUCAACAAAGUCUUAGGUCAUAGACUUUCACUGUUCAUGUUGAAUAAUGAAAGAAGUUCCUCUUACUUAAAUGUUAUGCAAAAGUGUAAACAUAAGUGCAAACAUAACGACUUGAUAUUCUUUGUAUUUCCCAUGUAGUAUUUCAAAUACAUGACUUCUAAAAUUGUUCUCCAACUUCUAUCGUUUUAUGGUUUCUGUGAAAAGAUGGCUGAGAUUGAAACAAGUAUUUGGUCAGAUUUUUAUUUUAUUUUAUUUUAUUUUACAUUUCUCUAUAUAAUUAAAUAUUUUAGUUACUUGUCUCUGUCUCAUAAAGUAGGCUUGCACCUUGUGUGUUGUCCACUCCGUUUUCAUUUUUCUCUCUAAUUAAACCCACAGCUGGUUCUUUCCCUCAGUGGUUUUAGUAAUUCAUAAUCCGUUACAGUGAAAUAAUAGAUCAUACUGUUCCUUUCAUACUGGUAUAGGGAAGUGUAAAUUAAGUUUCUGUGUGCCAGCAAGGAAAAAAUUCUAUAAAGGAGUAGAGUAAUAAAUUACUAAUAAAUUACUAUUUUUAAUACCUGCAACAAAUACGUUUAGAGAUGAAACUGUUGUAUCUGCAAAUAUUUUCAUUUUCUU